GGCUUCGUACCGGGGAGCCCGCGGAGGCGGGCUGAGAGGCUGGCCAGGACUGCCGUCGGCGACCCGCAGACCCGAUCGCGGUCAUGCGCGCGUGGGGAGGAUGAUCGUCAUGUCG
rnacentral:ncRNA from 1 species